UAGCUUGGGAAUCUGGCUUAUGGAGGGGGAUAACUACGGGAAACGGUAGCUAAUACCGCGUAGUAUCGAGAGAUGAAAGUGCGGGACCGCAGGCCGCAUGCCAUGAGAUGAGCCCAAGUGGGAUUAGGUAGUUGGUGGGGUAAAGGCCUACCAAGCCUGCGAUCUCUAGCUGGUCUGAGAGGAUGGCCAGCCACACUGGAACUGAGACACGGUCCAG
rnacentral:rRNA from 1 species